GGACGGAGAUAAGCUCCAGGAAUUUCUGUUAUAGAUGUGUAAUUGCGUCAAUAUGAGUGAUAGUGAAGUCACGAGACACGUUGAGUUGUUGCAGUCGCCGCUAUUUUAAGUUAAAUGCGGUGUUUUCAAACCGUCGACGCUCAAUGUGUGUUUACGGCUAAGCUAACAGCCGCGCUACCGCCAAGCUAGCGCAAGUCGACAUUGGACUUAAUUAGCUUUGGCGCUAACUGUCAGCUAGCACCUCAGUGAGCCCCGGCAAGGGAGGGACGACUGGAAAACCAGAUAGCGCACCUGGCGACCAGGUAAAACUCAGGUGCACCUCUGGCGACGAGGGAGGAGAAACGUACUCCAUCAUUUGCCGAGGAACCGAUGUGUGGAGCCGGAUUUUUGGAGGGAAAAGGACCGUUGUAAACCGGACUCCUGGAGGGAGAGUAAGCUGUUUCAUGGACACAUUCAGCGGACGUCAUCUUAUGAGGGCCAACGCACAUCCGCCAUAUAUAUCAGGCUCAGUUUAGUGACACAAUGUCACCGCAGCAGUGUGAGAGGAGCUCGGCUUUAGAGGAAGGAGAGGACUGUGGAGUAAAGACUAAAUAUACUGAGGCGAGCAGCACCAAGCAAACAGGGCCUGUGGAAAAGCUCACUGAAGGAAGCCAGCAGAAACCCGUCUUAAAGGUUCCCCCUCAAUAUAAAACCUGAAUUCUAAUCAAAACCUAAAAUAAAAUAAAUGGAAUAAAAAAAAAAAAACAGACUGAUUAAAUACAACAAAAAGCUGAGAACGAUUCUGAAAAUGUGAUUUAAUGCUGCUGAAUUUCAAAAUAAUACUUCCUCCUGAAGCCUCUUUUUGUGAGCUGCUGCAGGACUGAGUGGCCUCAGAUGAUUUAUGCUCUGUGGUGGAUGAUUUUUAUUGAAACUCAAAGAAUAAAAGCUAAACUCUGAUUUAUUUUAAAGGUGGUUUUGUAGCGAAUACAGCUGCUUUAUUAUAUCAUAGUCACAUACAUUCUUCAAACCAUUAGUAGAAGUGAAUAUUUCGUGGCCUACGUUAUAUCCUGUAAUCUCCAGAUGUGUUUAGAGGGAGAAAUCCUGCAAGUGCAUUGUCUAACUGUAUUUAUAGGCCCGUACAAAUGGUCUUCCAGUAUUAUUGUGGAAUCUCAGAUGUCACAGAUGGAACCUGGAAAUUUUUCUCACGUCCCAUGGAAAAGAAAAGAAAAAAUCAGUGACAUAAAACAAGAAUCAAGAAGCCUCUCAUUAUUCUUUAAUGUGAACGCGCACAACUUUUCCAAAGCCGAUUAGUCUGGAAAUCCCUGUAUAAUUAUCGACAUUCACUGAUCAAUAACAAACAGUCCUCAACGACGUCUGAGUAAAAAAGAGAGAGGGAAGGAGGAGGAGGAAGAGGAGGAGGAAGAAGAGGAAGAAGAAGUGGAGUGAGCGAGGCUGCUGCUGCUGCUGUGCCGGACGCACCGCGAACCGAUCCCCGCGCGAUCCAUCUUCAUUGGCGCUUUUGUGUGCGCAAAAAAAAAAAAAAAGAAAAGAAAAAAGAAAGGCGCGCGCAUAAGGUAAAGCCCGCAUCAAAGCCGCGGCUUUAUUUUUAUAUCCAAUAGAUCAGCAGGCAGACAAAGCUUUAUUUUCGCCAGGAGAGACAUAUUUUACCUCUGCCUUACGGUUUUAUGUUGGAGAGGUGUCAGCCGCGGGAAAUGGAUGGCUAAUGCAUAGGCAAAGCGCUGCUCGCCUCGGCAUGCUGCACGUCAGAGGGGGGCUGCAGGGAAGAGCAGCGG